rnacentral:pre_miRNA from 1 species
UACAACGUCACCCAAAGUAGUGAACGUAAUUUAUCGUGAGCUAUCUAUAGAUAUUAUGCUCAUUACUUUGGAGAAGUUGUA